rnacentral:rRNA from 1 species
UACAGAGGGUGCAAGCGUUAAUCGGAAUUACUGGGCGUAAAGCGUGCGUAGACGGUUGCGUAAGUCAGAUGUGAAAGCCCCGGGCUCAACCUGGGAAUUGCAUUUGAGACUGCGUAGCUAGGGUGCGGAAGAGGGAAGCGGGAAUUUCCGGUGUAGCGGUGAAAUGCGUAGAUAUCGGAAGGAACACCAGUGGCGAAAGCGGCUUCCUGGUCCAGCACCGACGUUCAGGCACGAAAGCGUGGGGAGCAAACAGG